rnacentral:rRNA from 1 species
AUUGAACGCUGGCGGAAUGCUUUACACAUGCAAGUCGAGCGGCAGCGCGGGGCAACCUGGCGGCGAGCGGCGAACGGGUGAGUAAUACAUCGGAACGUGCCCAGACGUGGGGGAUAACUACUCGAAAGAGUAGCUAAUUCCGCAUAUGAUCUAAGGAUGAAAGCGGGGGAUCGCAAGACCUCGCGCGUUUGGAGCGGCCGAUGGCAGAUUAGGGAGGUGGUGGGGUAAAGGCUUACCAAGGCUGCGAUCUGUAGCUGGUUUGCGAGGACGACCAGCCACACUGGGACUGAGACACGGCCCAGACUCCUACGGGAGGCAGCAGUGGGGAAUUUUGGACAAUGGGCGAAAGCCUGAUUCAGCCAUUCCGCGUGCAGGAUGAAGGCCCUCGGGUUGUAAACUGCUUUUGUACAGAACGAAAAAGCUCUGGUUAAUACCUGGAGUCCAUGACGGUACCGUAAGAAUAAGCACCGGCUAACUACGUGCCAGCCGCCGCAGUAAAAC